AUAAGAUAAUAAACAAGCCUGUUGGUCAAGAGUUGAAGAAUCAGACCCAUGAUCACGUAUCAUCUGAUGAUAAUACUUCAGAGCGUGAUGGUCAAGAUCUACCCACCGAAGUUAAAGGAGAACAAGAUUUUAUGGACGAUCAUUCAAACGUCAAUAAAAAUUCUUUGGACUUUAUCGUUCCCGAGGAUAAUAUACCUGAUCACACAGAAGAUGAAAAUCAGCAAUUUGAUCAAAACAUGAAAGAUACUGAUGAACAGACUAUAUACCUACAACCAAUUAGAAUGAUCCUUCUUGGUGAUGAAAAUUAGCAACAUGUUCUAACUGAAUUUCAUAUUUUGAUCCCUGAUGAACUACUACCAAGUCUCAACCCAGAAAGAAGCAUUGUCUUACAUUCAGAAGGUACUGUUCCUGCGGAGACUCCAACACUAAUCCCCCGAAUUAGGCAUCCUGAUUGGUAUAAUACAUCACCAUACAUAACAAUUUUUGAAUCUGAUUCUAGUAUAAAUUAUACAUUUUAUAAGUUUAUACAACUUGGAUCUAGUUUUAAAAUUAAAAUGUGAUACUAUUUCAGGUAGUUUAUCAAAGCUCUCUGUAUUUUUCAAUCAGAAGCAUCCAUUUGAUUCUAUUACUAGAACACAUGAUGCAUCCAUAUAUGGUAAUUUCUGAAAAUGGUUAAGGAAAGACCUUCUUGCUAAAAACCAAAGCAAGCAAGUACAAUUUUGUAUAAAAAUUAUACAUAACAUAAAAUAUACUUUUUAUCAAUUUCAAAUUUUAUAUAGUAUAUUUCAUUCCUGUAUAAUCUUUUAAUUUGACGCCAGAAAAAACAAUGAUGAUCAAUACAAAAAGAACAAGUCUUCCUUAUCAGCUUUCAUGAAUUUUGGUGUUGUUACUGUGUCUGACAAGAAUUGGUUCUACAAAUUGACUAAUGAAGGACAUUUUUUUGAUAAUUCGGUAUAAUUUUUACACUUUAUUGUAUUAAUCAUACAUCUACUACAUUCAUAUAACUUUUCAUGUUGGCUGCUACUUUUUCUUUUACAGCACAUAGAUGUGAUAUUGUAUAAUCUAAGAAAAAAGUGAAGUACUUUUCUAGCACCACGUAUAGCUUCAACACUGUUGAUUGCAAUUUCAACAUGUUGAUUCACAAUAUUUGAAAAGCAUAUUAUGAGUCUAGUGAAUUAUCAUCGGGCCAAUUCUGAGAAGACAAUCUUUGAAUAUAUCAACGGAUAUAGGAUUCAUGUUGCUAUGUCAUGGCAUUUCGUUGAUCAUAUAUACAUUCCGAUUAAUGUGAAGAAAAGAUUUCAUUGGGUAUUGAUAGUUAUAUCUUUCAAUGAGCGCUGCAUAAUGGUAUAUGACUCAAUCAAAGAUGCCAUUCAUGAUUCACAUGUAUCCAACGAGGUCAAGAAAUUUGCGCAGCUUAUACUCAUGUAUCUUUCGAUGACUGAUUUUUAUGAGAAGAAAGGUCUGAAUAUACAUGAACACCCGAAAUAUAAAUUCCACACAAACUAUGAUUCAUUUGAUAUCAUUUAUAUGGAUGACAUACCUCAACAGCUACCGGACAACAUGAUGGUGGUUUAUAUGUAUCAGCUUACGCAGAGUACCUGAACGAUGGAGAUUGCAUUUCUGUAUGUCCAUUUGAUCCGGAGUUAAUUCGUACAAGAUAUGCAGCAACAUUGUGGAGCUAUGACAUGUAAAAAAUUCAAGCUGAGGCCAUAAAUGAUAGUGAAACACCCCCAUAGCCGAUCAGAUCUCAUGUUGAAUGUGAGAGCACUGAAAGAAUCAAUAUUCAGUAGCCUACUUUUAUGUUUUUUUGAAAAUACUGACUAGCUCUUCCAUAAUUUAUACAUUUUGAUUGGAUGGAAAAUAUUAUUUUGUCGAAUUGUGUGUUUAUAUCUCGUUUAUAACCU